rnacentral:rRNA from 1 species
UUCCAGCUCCAGUAGCAUAUGCUAAUGUUGAUGCGGUUAAAAAGCUCGUAGUCUGAACUGUGUCCUGCGCUGCCGGUCCACAGCAUGCCUGUGCCGACUGUGUACGUCGCAAGGACGUCUUUGCUGGACGCGGAGGAGGUCCGGUCGUUCGGCUCGGUGCGGUUCAGCCUUUCGUUGUUGUUGGGGUUCCGGCCCCUCUCUUCGUCAGGUGUCGAGUCCGCAUCGCAGCUCCUUCCGGUACCGCAAUCCGCACUUGAGGUCCCGACCUGGUGCUCUUAAUCGAGUGCCUCGGAGGGCCAGCACUCUUACUUUGAACAAACUCGAGUGCUCAAAGCAGGCCUUCCGGCCUUGACGCUGUGUGCAUGGAAUAAUGGAAUAGGACCUCGGUUCUAUUUCGCUUGGUUCUACGGACCGAGGUAAUGAUCAAAAGGAGCAGUCGGGGGCAUUCGUAUUGUUGAGUUAGAGGUGAAAUUCUUGGAUCUCAGCAAGACGGACUAAAGCGAAAGCAUUUGCCAAGUAUGUUUUCAUUGAUCAAGAGCGAAAGUUGGAGGAUCGAAGGCGAUCAGAUACCGCCCUAGUUCUAACUAUAAACUAUGCCAGCCAGCGAUGCGCCGAAGUCGCUUUGACUCGGCGUGGAGCCCCCGGGAAACCAGAGCUUUCAGGUUCCGGGGGAAGUAUGGUUGCAAAGCUGAAACUUAAAGGAAUUGACGGAAGGGCACCACCAGAAGUGGAGCCUGCGGCUUAAUUUGACUCAACACGGGGAAACUUACCAGGGCAGGACAUAUGCAGGAUUGACAGAUUGAAGAUCUUUCUUGAUUAUGUGGAUGGUGGUGCAUGGCCGUUCCUAGUUGGUGGGGUGGCCUGUCUGGUUUAUUCCGAUAACGAACGAGACCCUGUCUUGCUAAAUAGUCCACAUUUGAAAUCCCUACGGGGCUAUCUGAGAGAGACCCUUCUUAGAGGGAACAGCGGCCUAGAGUCGCAUGACAAGGGGCUAUAACAGGUCUGAGAUGCCCUUAGAUGUCCUGGGCCGCACGCGUGCUACAAUGAAAGAAGCAGAAUGCACGCUCCUGGUCCGAGAGGAUUAGGUAAUCACAAAAUUCCUUCAUGCAGGGGAUAGGGGUUUGCAAUUAACCCCUUGAACAAGGAAUUCCCAGUAGGUGCGGAUCAAGAUUUCGCGUCGAUUGAGUCCCUGCCCUUUGUGCACACCGCCCGUCGCUACUACCGAUUGAAUGGUCUAGUGAGGUCUUUGGACCGGGGCUUGAGACGCAUACCAUGCGUCUCAUCAGCUCUGGAAGGCUGACCGAACUUGCUCGUUUAGAGGAAGUAAAAGUCGUAACAAGGUUACCGUAGGUG